rfam:Grosmannia clavigera kw1407 unplaced genomic scaffold GCSC_140, whole genome shotgun sequence.
ACCCGAUUGGCACAAUUGGCUAGCGCGUUGGACUUUUAAUCCAAAGGUUAUGGGUUCGACCCCCAUAUCGGGUG